AAAAUUUUCCGUUUUUCCAGGCCUUAAAAGUUAGCGCACGGCUCAAAUACGAGCCAUUCCCCUAAGCCCAGGAACCUCCCCGGUUCUCUGGGCCUUUUUUU
rnacentral:sRNA from 1 species